GCCAAAGACUAGAAAAUAUGGUGAAGCAUAUCUUCCCUUUGGCUUCACCUGCACAAGUGCCAAGAUAUCUGUUGGUGUGCUCCAGUAUUUUUAUUCAGCAAACCAGCCUAUGAAGUGAAUGAAACAAAUCCUGACUGGGUUCCAACACUACACAUGGGGCACUACGAAAUCCCUGCUUCAAACUACAUGCUACAUACCACCAUGCCAAUCAGAUUACUUCUUCCAUGUGUGGGUAAAAAGGUGACCCUCAUGGAUAAGAUGGCAAAAGUUUGCUGCGUUUUGGUGAACAUGUGCCCCAGUGUGGUAGUAAAACCAGGGAAAAAUGCUCUUGUUAAAUACUCUUAAGUCUUGUGCUGUUUAUGUAGUGAUAAGUUUUCAAAACAGACAGUAAAUUACAGAAUGC
ensembl:lncRNA